CCUUCAACAUAUAUAAACCUAGCCAAACCUGUAGCCACAGUGUUGGAAUGAGUAGUUGGAGCCCAGUUGCAGUUUUCAUCAAUCCAGCUGCAUUAAUCAAAUCAACAAGCUUUUGGCAUUGUAAAAAGCCUUCACUUAAAUUCCUUUCCACAGCAAGCCUUCUUUUUAUCACAGAUUUCCACCUGUCAACAUUUUCAAAACGAUGAAAGGAAAUGUUGUCAAUGGGUACAGGGGAUACAUCUUGAGGGAUCCUCUUUUUCUUCACAGACUUCUUUGAGGAUGCU
rnacentral:lncRNA from 1 species